rnacentral:rRNA from 1 species
AACGAACGCUGGCGGCGUGCCUAACACAUGCAAGUCGAGCGCGAAAGUCCUUUCGGGGGCAAGUAGAGCGGCGGACGGGUGAGUAAUACGUGGAUAAUCUUCCCUCGAGCUUGGGAUAACCCUGCGAAAGUGGGGCUAAUACCGGAUAAGACCACAUGGCAUAUGUCAUGGGGUGGAAGGUGGCUUAUAUUUAUAUGAGCUAUCACUUGAGGAUGAGUCUAUGGCCUAUCAGCUUGUUGGUGAGGUAAAAGCUCACCAAGGCUAUGACGGGUAGCUGGUCUGAGAGGACGACCAGCCACACUGGGACUGAGACACGGCCCAGACUCCUACGGGAGGCAGCAGUGGGGAAUAUUGGGCAAUGGGCGAAAGCCUGACCCAGCGACGCCGCGUGGGUGAUGAAGGCCUUCGGGUUGUAAAACCCUUUCGUGCGGAAAGAACAGCCCUGUAGUUAAUACCUGCAGGGUUUGACGGUACCGCAGGAAGAAGCACCGGCUAACUCCGUGCCAGCAGCCGCAGUAACAC